rnacentral:rRNA from 1 species
UACGUAGGUGGCGAGCGUUGUCCGGAUUUACUGGGCGUAAAGAGCGCGCAGGCGGUCGUAUAAGUCGCGUGUGAAAGCCCCCGGCUCAACUGGGGAGGGUCACGCGAUACUGUUCGACUUGAAGGCAGGAGAGGGAAGCGGAAUUCCCGGUGUAGUGGUGAAAUGCGUAGAUAUUGGGAGGAACACCAGUGGCGAAGGCGGCUCACUGAACCGGUACUGACGCUGAGGCGCGAAAGCUAGGGGAGCAAACGGG